ACAGUGGUGUUUUGGAUCCAGUGAUUCUUGUUUUAGCAGCAUCAAACAUCAUAUCUCUGAGUGUGAUUUUAUUUCUGUGCAGAAAACACAGCAGUCAUCAUAACGAUGCUGCUGGUCACACAGUGAAAGAGCAGCAGGCUGCAUGUGAUGAAGCUUUCAACUUGGCAGCAGGAAGUUUCAACAAUGAACCGCAGCACAUUAAAGAGGCGGAUGUGCAGUCUCUGGUCAUUUAUUA